rnacentral:rRNA from 1 species
CCUACGGGAGGCAGCAGUGGGGAAUAUUGGGCAAUGGGGGCAACCCUGACCCAGCAACGCCGCGUGAGUGAAGAAGGCUUUCGGGUUGUAAAGUUCUUUUAGCAGGGACGAAGCAAGCGACGGUACCUGAUGAAUAACCCACGGCCAACGACGUGCCAGCAGCCGCGGUAAUACGGGGGGGGGAGGUGUUAUCCGGUUUUACUGGGUGUAAAGGGAGUGUAGGCGGGAGUGCAAGGCAGUUGUGAAAACCAUGGGCUCAACCCAUAGACUGCAUUUGAAACUGUGCUUCUGGAGUGCUGGAGAGGCAAGCGGAAUGCCGGGUGUAGCGGUGAAAUGCGUAGAUAUAAGGAGGAACACCAGUGGCGAAGGCGGAUUGCUGGACAGUAACUGACGCUGAGGCUCGAAAGCGUGGGGAGCAAACAGGAUUAGAUACCCGUGUAGUC